UCCUACGGGGGGCAGCAGUGAGGAAUAUUGGUCAAUGGGCGGAAGCCUGAACCAGCCAAGUCGCGUGAGGGAAUAAGGCCCUACGGGUCGUAAACCUCUUUUGCCGGGGAGCAAGGGCGGGGACGUGUCCCGGCCCGGAGAGUACCCGGAGAAAAAGCAUCGGCUAACUCCGUGCCAGCAGCCGCGGUAAUACGGAGGAUGCGAGCGUUAUCCGGAUUUAUUGGGUUUAAAGGGUGCGUAGGCGGGCUUUUAAGUCAGCGGUAAAAAUUCGGGGCUCAACCACGUCCGGCCGUUGAAACUGGGGG
rnacentral:rRNA from 1 species